GUUUCUUCUUGAAGCAUUUGCAACAGCAGCAGUCAUCAUCUUGAGAUUCUGGCAUCUCCAUUGUGAAGGACCCUCAGUCUGUGAUCAUCAUGCAGAGCGAACCUCAGAUGCCAUUUGACGAAAUCAAGCCAUCCAAUCAGAAACACAGCCUGCUGCAGCAGUUAUUAUCAUAUUGAUCCCAGUCAAACCUAAGAAGCUCAAAGAUGAAUACUGUUUUAGAUGUGCUAGUCUCUACAUACCUCCUGGUUUGUUCAGCCCUUACUUUGACUCUUUGAACUUUGACUUUUAUGACGGGUGGACAUGAAUGACCUUGUUUAGAUUGAAAUGGCCGAAUGACACAUCACAAAAAUUCAAGUGGAAAGCCAGAAAGUCAUGUCAACAGCCACAUUGUGUAUGUGACCAGCCAAGUUGUAUUCAACGAAAAACAAUAGUUUACGUUUUAUUUUUUAUGUUACCAACCAAGUUGAAUUCCAAUAAUAACAAUAGUUUAUGUAUUUUGGAAAUUAUGAUGCAUGUUAAGUAUUUUAAAAGCAUGCAUAUUAAAUGUCUAUCUAAUGUAUUAUGAAACUUUAAUUACAGAUUUUGAUCCUGAUAAUGGUAAUAAAUGGGAAAUGUUACCAAAGAUUUUUUAAGAUUGUCAAAGAUGUUUAAAUGAUGCUGGUAACUUGGACAAAAUUGAAAAAAUAUUGUAGUAUUUGUUAUAAGACAUGUUUCAGUUUUCUGUUUUUUAUCCGUAAAUAUAGAUAAGCUAGGGGAAAAUAUUUAUUCAGAAAGGUGUAAAAUGUUUACGCUUCAGAUUUUUGUCUAUCAACCUUCUGAAAACAAUACUAGUCAAUUGGCUCAUUCGGGUCGGUAUUCGAUCAUGAAUCUUGUUUAGUAGCAUACUAUGUAUUUCAUGGGAAUAUAAAUAAAUUCAGGGCAAAAUUAUUUAAUCUACCUGAAAUAAUCGAUUCUGUAUUUACUACUAGUACUUUGUUGAUUUCAAUGGAUAUUGUUUGUUAAAUGAUUAGAGUAUGACUGUGGUUGAAAAGCUUUAAAUGAAACUGUGAAUUAAAAAAUAAAUAUUUGUUGUAGAGUUUCAUGAAAAAUGACAAAAGAUUGUUAAGUUGUGUUGUUUUAUCAUAUACUAACAUGGUCAUAAGUGUUAAAAUUUGUUUUCGGACGUAAUAGUUUAUUAUGCUUAAUAUUUGUAUAUGUACAUAAAGACGACAAGAUUGUAUCCUCUUUAAUCAGUGAGCAACUUAAUCAAGAUAUCUUGAUCACUGUAUCAAGUGUAUAUUUUGCCAUUUAUACAUAGAGCAACUGUAAAACAAUUGUAUUUUAAAUGUAAUGUAUCCAUGUAUUGUUGCCAUUUUUAUUAGAUAAACGCACUGUUAACAUUAAUUUGUACAAACUAUUGUUAUAAAAAACAUUUCUUGUUUCAAUGCUAAAAUAUGUAUUAAACUGUUAAAAUAAUGCACAGUAACAACUUCUGAAGAGAAAAAUAUACUUAAGGCAAUAGAAACACAUUGUUAUAUGAAAUGCUUUUUAUUAAGAACACCUACUUAAAAUUUGUUUAAUUUUGUUUAACAUUAUCUGAAGAAAAAAUAGUACCUUGUAAUUUGAAAUCAGUCAAUGAAAAAAAAGGGAGUGUUGCCAUAUGCUAACAAUAGUCAAGAAGUGCAAAUGCCUUUAUGGUUAAUACAACAGAGCAAUACAAUUUGCUUAAACUAGAGCACCACAUAAAGGGUGCCAUGCUCGGCUACGGGUGCAGUUUUGAAUAAAUGAAAGCUUGACAUAAUUUAUUUGAGAGGUCACAGUGACUUGACCAUUGACCUAGUGACACCAAAAUGGGUGUGGUGUGUAGAACUCAUCAAUGUGCAUCUACAUAUGAAGUUUGAAAGUUGUAGUUGGAAGCACUUUGAUUUUAGAGCCAAUGUUAAGGUUUAAGCACGACACGGACGGCGGACAACACAACGAACUAGCUAUGACAUUACCUCGGGUUUUCUCCGAAAAUACCCAGCUACAAAUAAAAACAAAGAUGUCUGUUUUGCAAUUUUUUUUAACACUUAUGAAUGUGCUUAUAUUAAACGUGAACAGUAUUGACAUAUUGCUUAUGAUAAAGAUUGACAUUUUAUUAGUUUUGUAACAGCGUGUUUGACCUUUCAAAUUGACCCUCCCACAAUCCCUUAUUCGCUUUCAGUGGGGCCAGUUUCUGUACAUCUUCCACUACAAGUUCUGCAAAUGUUAUAUGACCAGAUUUCCUCAUAUUUGGGAAUGUUUAUAUUUAACUUUUAUUGAAUGCAUGAAACAUGUUUGUUCUGUUUUUGAAAAGCUGAAAAUAGCUUGAUGUUUGUAAAUUGUGAGACAUGUUAGAUCAAAUUGAUAUAUAGAAAAAAACACAUUUUGCAUUAACUUGUAUUGGUAGCUAAACAACACAUGUUUCCAAAUACAAAUUUAAGUAUUUGGUAAAAAUAUAAUUGUGCUAUAUUUGUCAUAUCGGAUGAAAUGCAAUUUUAAUUAUAAUGUGUUUAUAUGUUCGUAUUCUCCAAAUAAUCAUUUUAAAUAAGUAAAUAUAGGGUAAUCAUGUCUAUGGAAAGUAUCCGUAGGCAUGUUUUAAAUGCUUGUGUACCUCAUAUGGAUCAGGGUCUUUCUAAAUUAUUGCAUGAUUGUUAAUGCCUAUGUCUGAUUGUGUAAAUAUCUUCAAAGAUACUUGUUAAGAGGAUUUUAAUAUUAAAAGAUAAAUUAGCAUCUUAACUAUAACCGGGCAUCUUUUGCAUUUAUUUUAACGUGUUUAUAUUGUUUGGCUUACCGAGUUUAAUAUUGUCUAUAUAUUCGUGCGUAAUUUUAUUGUGGUUGUUUUGUUAAGACAAAGCGCAUAUCACUAAUGCUGUUGUUUUUGUUUUAUGAUAUAUGUAAAUAAUUAAACAUGUUUAUUUUGGUGAUAUGUAUUUCCCAGGCCCGUACCCAGGCACUGGGCCCAGGGGCCCGGGCCCCCCCAGCUGGCUGUCGAGUAAUGAUUUUUUAAUAAUGGGCCUAUUGCAAAUUUUCUCACAUGAAAGGGCCCACAGUACACUUCCCUGCAAUACAAACGUGCAGAUGUGUUUUAUUGCCCCUGAUACACAAGGGGAUUAGCGCUAAUUUACUCGCCAGUGGAGAUAAGCCCCUAGGCAUUAUUUUCUUAUCACCUUGUACACACAUCCCCGAUCUGUCAAUUACCUAUUGUGCUCAAUGCUUCAUCUUUUGAUGGUGGGUGUAACACGUCUUUUGAUUGGACAAGGAAAGAGAAACAGCGAAUGGAUGGAACUGAUACAGAAGUUCGUAGGUCUGAACGAUAAUAGUGUUUUCUCUUUUGAAUUCAAACCUCCUCUAGAAUCAUAGCUUAUUAAACAUUUCUGUGAAAACUGUGUUGUAGAUGAUGAACAUUUUAUAAUGAAUUUACUUUGAAAUUUUAUAUAGAGGAGGUUUGAUUUCAAAGAGAAAAUACUAGUAGGUUAUAUGUCAGUUACUGACAUAUAACCAUAGUAGUAUUUUCUCUCUGAAAUCAAACCUUCUCUACAGGCAUACUUUAUGUCACAUUUCAUAAUAAAGUUUUUUUUAGUUUCAAAGGUUGCUUUUACUUCUUUAUAAAGUGUAAUACAUUUCUGAAAUCUAAAGCUUUAUACAUGUGUGUGAAUUUCACACCAAGGGGUCGUUGAUAAAGCAUGUCACGCUUUUUUUUACCAUUUUUACCCCGGCAUGUCACAAACUGUUACAAAAUCUUGGACCCCCCUCCCCUAAGGGACGUCACAAACUCACACUUUCGAACAUUUUUUUAAAAGUAAUACUUAAUUUAAAUUUAAUCUUAAACUAAAUUCACUAUUAAACCGUAUUAAAAUUUCACUUACCGGUAAAAGAACUAUUACAUCACAGGCUUUUAUAACUGUAGGGUUGUUACGAUGAGCAGUAUGAAUAUUUAUCCACGUGUUAACGUCUAAUAAAAACGAAAUUAUAAUUAAGAUUUUCUUUCAACCCUUUACUAACUAAAUAUGGAACAGUCCAAUUAUUUCGUCAUUGAAAUCUGUGUGGAGGUUGUGCCUAUUGAAUAAGCCGGCUCAGCCAAGUUGCCUAUAAAACAUUCGAACAACAGAAUCAGGAGAUACGCAAUUCGUCUUAUUUUGACAUAAAACUAAUUUAAAUGUUUCACAAAUUUUUGAAAAUUAUUUUUUAAUUCUACUAAAGAAAUAAUAAAUAAAUUAUACAAUUUUUUUUAAAUAAAUGUGUGACAUCACACAUGGCCUGACUCCCCUCCCCCAUGUCACAAACUGUCACUUUCUUACUACCCUCCCCCCACCUGGAGCGUGACAUACUUUAUGGACGGCCCGUAAUGGUUAAAGCUUUAGACUUCAGAAAGGUGCUGAUUUACUUGUUAUAUAUCCAUAAAUUUAUAACACAACAUAUGUUUCUAUAUGCAUUAAAAUUUACCUUGAACAGUGCCUAAUAAAAAAAAUCUAUUCCGGAGGGGCAACCCCUCCCGCACCCUCCCCGUUUGGGCCCCCCCAGUCAACAUUUCCUGGGUACGGCCCUGAUUUCCCAAUCUAAGUGUAAUGUUGCAUUCUCAAUAAAGUACAUUGUUAUACACGUGGAAUAGUAUUGCUAAGUGACAAUUUGUUGUCUUUACAAAUAAAAACCGCAAGGAUUGUCGUAUCAAUUUUAUAGCUUUCCCCUAUUGAACUGGUGUAAAAACGUGACCGUGAGCUCAUUUUGUUUAAUGUUAACUGCCAAUAUAUAUAUAUAUAUAUAUAUAUAUAUAGAAAGAAAUUGUUCAAACAGUGUAAAAAAUGUGUAUCUUAUACCCUAGCGCUGUUGACUACACGUCUUCUUUAGGGGUGUAUACAGAUAUGAGUUAACGAUUCCCCAGUGCGAAUGCACAAAAGAGGUUAACUUAUUGGCUUUCAGUCUUGUUUUUUUUAGUUAUGUGUCGUUUUAUUUUUUAUGCCCCCCUUCGAAGAAGAGGGGGUAUAUUGCUUUGCUCAUGUCGGUCGGUCGGUCUGUCGGUCCGUCCACCAGGUGGUUGUCAGAUGAUAACUCAAGAACGCUUGAGCCUAGGAUCAUGAAACUUCAUAGGUACAUUGAUCAUGACUCGCAGAUGACCCCUAUUGAUUAUGAGGUCACUAGGUCAAAGGUCAAGGUCACGGUGACCCGAAAUAGUAAAAUGGUUUCCAGAUGAUAACUCAAGAACGCUUGUGCCUAGGAUCAUGAAACUUGAUAGGUAGAUUUAUCAUGACUCGCAGAUGAUCCCUAUUGAUUUUCAGGUCACAAGGUCAAGGUCACGGUGACCCGAAAUAGAAAAAAUGGUUUCUGGAUGACAACUCAAGAACGCUUAGGCGUAGGAUCAUGAAACUUGAUAGGUAGAUUGAUCAUGACCUGCAGAUGAAAUAUUGAUUUUCAGGUCACUAGGUCAAAGGUCAAGGUCACGGUGACCCGAAAUAGUAAAAUGGUUUCCGGAUAAUAACUCAGGAAUGCUUAGGCCUAGGAUCAUGAAACUUCAUAGGUACAUUGAUCAUGACUCGCAGAUGUCCCCUAUUGAUUUUCAGGUCACUAGGUCAAAGGUCAAGGUCACGGUGACCCGAAAUAGUAAAAUGGUUUCAGGAUGAUAACUCAAGAACGCUUAUGGCUAGGAUCAUGAAACUUCAUAGGUACAUUAAUCAUGACUGGCAGAUAACCCCUAUUAAUUUUGAGGUCACUAGGUCAAAGGUCAAGGUCACGGUGACCCGAAAUAGUAAAAUGGUUUCCCGAUGAUAACUCAAGAACGCUUAUGGCUAGGAUCAUGAAACUUCAUAGGUACAUUGAUCAUGACUCGAAGAUGACCCCUAUUGAUUUUCAGGUCACUAGGUCAAAGGUCAAGGUCACUGUGACAAAAAACAUAUUCACACAAUGGCUGUCACUACAACUGAGAGCCCGUAUGGGGGGCAUGCAUGUUUUACAAACAGCCCUUGUUUAUUUAUUUAUUUAUUCAUAUUAAAAUUGUGUUAUAGACUGACGCCCGUAAUAUAAAUUAUAUCGAUGUUUUAAUGAAAAAUAUUAUAAUUUGCAGUGAACGUUUUGCAUUCAGUAUUGUGUCAUAUUUAUUCUUCGUUUUAUGAUUAUGUACAUACACUUAUUAAAAUUGUGUGUUAUAAAAUGGCGCUUACAAUGUUUAUUAUAUCGAUUUAACAUUUAAAUGAUUAAAAUGGAAGUUAGAAUUUA